rnacentral:tRNA from 1 species
CUCAAGGUAGUAGAAUCAAAAUACGUCAGAGUUAAGAUUUGAAGAUAGCUGGCAAGUUUCUUGAGA